AGUGCAAAGGAUGAACGACAAUGGGACUUAAUACUGAAACCUGAUGUUGACAGUGCAGUAAACUGAUGUGC
ensembl:snoRNA SNORD82 Small nucleolar RNA SNORD82